ACUUAAGUUAGCAAUAAAGACAGGAGACCCUACUCUAACUUGUAUCUUGCUUUAUAUGCAAAAAUCUUUUGGGGGGGGAAUCUAAAAUCUUAAGCGUUAAUAGCUGGUUAGUUUAUUGCUUUCAUCAUUUUUAACUGAGGUUGUAGCAAGUAAAAGGAAUCAUGAAAAAGGUUGUAUCUAAUGGUGAACAUUGUUAGUUUACUGUGUGAACUAACUGCUAUUGCAGCCCCAUUAACGGCAUGGAGGCCGCCAUUUUGUUCCCCCAGCACGUGAUGGUGGCCGGCCAAUGGGAGCAGGGGAGCGGCUGUGGUGAUUCCGACUGUGGAAUCACUGAUUCUUCCAGUAGAAUUUCAUUGGAGGUUCUGCCACUUUGCAGGUGAGUGGGGGUUGGGGUAGGUUGUCUUAUAAUGGUGCUUGACGGGAUGGCUGAUUAGGGUGCUCCAGUUAUGUGCCCAUAAGGAUUAACACAUUUCCAGCUCUUUCAGAAAUAGAAAGGACUUCGAAAGCAAUCACAUGAAACAAUGCUGAGAAAUAAAGAAAACCUGACAAGCUUCUUCAAGUUAUUACCCUGCCUUCGAAGCUGAUGUUCUUGUUGACUACCAUGAUUCUCAGUAUUAAUCAGAGUUUCUUGGACUUGCUGCAGC